rnacentral:rRNA from 1 species
GNAGUCGNGCGGUANAGAGANNCUUGCUUCUCUUGAGAGCGGCGGACGGGNGAGUAAUACCUAGGAAUCUGCCUGAUAGUGGGGGAUAACGUUCGGAAACGGACGCUAAUACCGCAUACGUCCUACGGGAGAAAGCAGGGGACCUUCGGGCCUUGCGCUAUCAGAUGAGCCUAGGUCGGAUUAGCUAGUUGGUGAGGUAAUGGCUCACCAAGGCUACGAUCCGUAACUGGUCUGAGAGGAUGAUCAGUCACACUGGAACUGAGACACGGUCCAGACUCCUACGGGAGGCAGCAGUGGGGAAUAUUGGACAAUGGGCGAAAGCCUGAUCCAGCCAUGCCGCGUGUGUGAAGAAGGUCUUCGGAUUGUAAAGCACUUUAAGUUGGGAGGAAGGGCAGUAAAUUAAUACUUUGCUGNNUUGACGUUACCGACAGAAUAAGCACCGGCUAACUCUGUGCCAGCAGCCGCGGUAAUACAGAGGGUGCAAGCGUUAAUCGGAAUUACUGGGCGUAAAGCGCGCGUANGUGGUUUGUUAAGUUGAAUGUGAAAUCCCCGGGCUCAACCUGGGAACUGCAUCCNAAACUGGCAAGCUAGAGUAUGGUAGAGGGUAGUGGNAUUUCCUGUGUAGCGGUGAAAUGCGU